rnacentral:rRNA from 1 species
CUCUGUGACUCCUACGGGAGGCAGCAGUGGGGAAUAUUGCACAAUGGGCGCAAGCCUGAUGCAGCAACGCCGUGUGAGUGAAGAAGGUUUUCGGAUCGUAAAACUCUGUCCUAAGGGAAGAAACAAAUGACGGUACCUUAGGAGGAAGCCCCGGCUAACUACGUGCCAGCAGCCGCGGUAAUACGUAGGGGGCAAGCGUUAUCCGGAAUCACUGGGCGUAAAGGGUGCGUAGGCGGCUUAGCAAGCCAGGGGUGAAAGGCAUUGGCUCAACCAAUGUAAGCCUUUGGAACUGUUAGGCUUGAGUGCAGGAGAGGUAAGUGGAAUUCCUAGUGUAGAGGUGAAAUUCGUAGAUAUUAGGAGGAACACCAGUGGCGAAGGCGACUUUCUGGACUGUAACUGACGCUGAGGCACGAAAGCGUGGGGAGCGAACAGGAUUAGAUACCCUGGUAG